rnacentral:rRNA from 1 species
AUUGAACGCUGGCGGAAUGCUUUACACAUGCAAGUCGAACGGCAGCACGGACUUCGGUCUGGUGGCGAGUGGCGAACGGGUGAGUAAUAUAUCGGAACGUAUCCAAUAAUGGGGGAUAACUAGUCGAAAGAUUGGCUAAUACCGCAUACGCCCUACGGGGGAAAGCAGGGGAUCUUCGGACUUUGCGUUAAUGGAGCGGCCGAUAUCUGAUUAGCUAGUUGGUGGGGUAAAGGCCCACCAAGGCGACGAUCAGUAGCUGGUCUGAGAGGACGACCAGCCACACUGGAACUGAGACACGGUCCAGACUCCUACGGGAGGCAGCAGUGGGGAAUUUUGGACAAUGGGCGCAAGCCUGAUCCAGCCAUUCCGCGUGAGUGAAGAAGGCCUUCGGGUUGUAAAGCUCUUUCGCAAGGGAAGAAAACUUAGCCACUAACAUUGGCUGAGGUUGACGGUACCUUGAUAAGAAGCACCGGCUAACUACGUGCCAGCCGCCGCGGUAAAAC